ensembl:snRNA U4 U4 spliceosomal RNA
AGCUUUGUGCAGUGGCAGUAUCGUAGCCAAUGAGGUUUAUCCGAGGUGCGAUUACUGCUAAUUGAAAACUUUUCCCAAUACCCCGCCAUAAUGACUUGAAAUAUAGUUGGCAUUCGCAAUUGUUGACAGUCUCUAUGGAGA